AUUUUCCCGCACAAAAAUGUCACUCCCUUACUUUCUUCCAUCUUCUUCCUCUGCUCUCUUCUCCGCCGGUCCAAUUCCGAUCAAAACUCCGUUCACUGCUCUGAAUCUCAUGAACUCUCACUGCUAAACUCCGAAACCUCCCCAACCCAUUGUUCUCUGUAAUUUCAUUUACCUCCAAUGGCUUCCAAGGACCCUGAGGAGGCCGCCAACACGACCACUGAGGAAGGAAGUUUGGCCUUCAAGAAGAAGCGGGCCCGACGCGUGAGCUUUGCCGACGUCGAGAUCACUUCGGUGCAUAUCUUUAAGCGUGACGAGGACUACGAGACGCCUCUUGAGCUCCAAGCCACUCCCGAGGCUGCUCCUCCGGACAACGAGGUCCUAGGGUUCUUCAGGAACUUGGUUGAUAGCGAUGAUUCCCUUGAAUCUUCGCCUAAUUUGGAUGAUGAUAUUCUUGGGCAGAGGAAAUCGUUUCUGAGACCACUAGGAUCGCCGUCGCCGGGGAGUAUUUCUGCCGGCUCUGCAACUUCCAAUGAUGAAGACAAUUUUUUUGGACCUGUAGCAGCGAAUUUCAUUAGACCCAGGCGGUUGUCUGAUUCUGCUGCCUCCGAUGAUAAUCAUGACGUUACAAUGGAUUCAACAGCAUUUUCAAUGCAUUUUCGUAGCCUUGCUGAAUCAGACUCGAGGAGGGAGCUCAAAACUCCUACGGCUAUUCGGUCUGCAUUUGAAGAGAGAACACCGACCCGGAACACCAUGCCUACUAACUCUGAUAGUUUUAUGACACUAACGAUGGCUGACAAGCUGAUUUUGCCAUCUUCGCAAUCUGCUGAUUUGGUAAGAAGUGAAGAUUCUAAUGCAAUGAGCAUCGUGGGAGAGAACUCUAAUAAAUACGAUUAUGGGAGAUUAUCUCCCUCUUUCAAUGCACUUUUGACUGAAGGAAGCAGGGAACUCUAUGCUGUUUCGGUGGAUGAAAAAUUGUCCAAACAGAUUGAGACUCGUGAAGUUGAUCAGAUUGGACAACGCAAUUAUGAUAUGGAAAUUUGUGAGAGAACCGAAAUGGAAGCUGUUAGUAAGGGAAGCAACCAAUAUGCCAAACAGGGAGUUGAGGAAAGAUUUUCAGAUGGGUGGGCUAAGGAAGAUUUUCUGAUUGAUAAGAGGCCUGAGACACCGAGAAGUGUUGACUAUAAGCUGAAAAAUAUAUUUCCGCAAAAAAGAUCAUUUUCUGCUGAACAGAAAACAUCUUUGGCUACUUUUAAUUCACCUUCAUUUUCUGCUCUUGUGACUCCUAACUCGAAGCUGUCAAAUUAUAGAUUGAGUACAGGAAGCAUGAAGUUUGGUAAGGGUCUGUCGUCCAAGCAGAGAAGUAUUUCUAAGUUCAGCCUUCCUGAACCUUCUCCAUGUGUGUUGAGUAUUAAGGAAGGAAUUGGCAGAUUAAAAUCCAGACUAUCAAGUUAUUCUUCUAUUGUUAACUUGAGUGGUCAACCUGAACGUUGCAAGGAUCUUGAAAGCAAAUACAUAGACAUUCCUGUUGUGCGUUUAGAAGAAGAACUUUCUAGAUUGAAUGGAAACAACGGUGAAUUUGAAAGUUCAUUUAGCACUAGUGGCAGUGGAGUCAAAACUUUAAAAGACUUCCCUAGGCUGAGCCAAAGUGAAGAACCGAAAGGUUUCACUGAUGCUGGAGAAACACCAGGCUAUAUGGCUAUGGAAAACUUUUCCAAUAUGCAACCUAGUGAACCGGACAUAGAAUUAAAGUCACCCGCUCAAGCUACCUGGACUGAGAAAAAAGAUCUUAUGCCACACAUUUUGAUUUCUGAAGAUCAUUUGUCGAGGUCAUCUACUAGUAUUAAAAUUGAUGAUGUGACGGACAUUAGACCCGAUGACAGAGAACAAAAUAACUCAACCAGUAAACAUGAUACACUUGUUUCAUCUCCUUUGCGAAGUCCAGAUGUAAGGUUAUUAGGAAACAGUGAAUGUCCGUCUGGUAGCUUUGGUGAACUGAAGCAGUGUGACCAACAGGUCAAGCAUGUUAGUGCUUGUUUGACGCAAGGUCAAGCUGCAGCUGCAGAUACAAGCAAUACCAGUCCUUUGACUAAGAUUGCUGACAAUUCUAGUUCAUUGCAAUCCAAAAGUGGAGCUGUGUCAGCUUCACCGUUCCUGAAAGGUCAAUCUUGGGUAGAUGAGGAUGAUAAUGGAGUUAACCUUUCAAAUUUGCAGAAUAAUUUUGUAACAUCUAAGAAUUUGCAACUGUCUUCAGGAGAUGGGAACAUCCUGAAUUCUCGGUUGGAAAGUCCUGCCAAGAGCUCGAAGGUUGGUGCAUUUUCACCGCAGUUUCAAAAGCCUUGGACAAGUGAACGAUCCAUUAUGCAGAGUCCCAUCAAUGGAAUGGCAAACUACAGUCCCCGAAGGAUAAUUUCAACCCAAACAUCAUCUGGGAAGAAAGAGCCCAAGGUUUCCAUCUCUUGUAUGUCGACUGCGAGUCCUUUCAAGAAUGAACGAACUCAGAGUUCUGCAAGGGAAAAGCCAUUUCAAAGUCCCGUCAGGAAUGACCCUUUUAAUGAAACAAAAGACGAUGGGACCUUCAUGAGGAAAGUUAGGGCUUCUCCAACAUCCAGUUUGAGUGGACAUAUUAAUCAUGAUAAUGAUCAAGCAAGCCACAUAUUGGUGAGUUCUUCAAGGAAGACCAAUCACCGCCUUUCAGGGAGCAAGAGAAGAAACAUUGAUUCGAUUCCUCUUGACGGAGAUCAGGGUGACAAUGACGUAAUAGUAAGGACUCGGCAAAGCCUAAAACUUAAUCAUAGUGGAAGUUGUGAUGUGGGCUCUCCGUUAGAAGAGUCCAACCAAAUAAGCAAUGGAAGCAAGAGGACUGAGGGCAAUACACUUAUGCAUUGGACAGAUAUGACAAUAAAGUUUUUAGCAGAGACAAAUGAUUUGCUACCCCCAUCGAUCAACAAGUUGAACUCAAAAGCAAUUGAGAGGCUUGAAGAUACUUUGGUUCACCUUUUGAAGGUUAAAGAAUAUGAACUGCUGUGUUCUGAAAUCCAGUCUCAGAAAGUCAUUGAGAAUCUUGGAGCAAUACGUAAAAGAGUAGUGGAAGCCAGAUCGUUGGUGUAUAAAGUAGCAUAUCAGAAGGCAAAGCUUCAGUUGGUUUGUAUAAAGCGUGAUGGAUAUCAGAAUAGAGCACAGUCAUUGAACUCUCAUUUUGAGGAUUUUCAAAUGUUGAAGUUGAACUAUGACCGCCUCAGGAAAUUUGGUUCAAAGGACAGUCAAGUUGACGAUGGAAAUAGUCUUUCAUGCCCAAUUGAUUCUGAGGCGUCCUGUGAUAGAGCCAGCAUGAUAAAGCACGAAAUUGAAUCUUUAGAUGGGAAGAUAAAGGGAUUAGGCCAAUAUUUUUCAACAUAUUGCAACUUGAAAGGAGUAACUAGUUCAACUGACAUCCUUGGAUUAGUUAUUGAUCAUCUAAGGAAGAGAAAGCUCUGCAGGUCUAUUUAUCAGGGUUUGCAGAUGUGGAAGGUAGAUGAUUUUGAGAAAAAGAAUGAUCACUACACCAUACUUCUCAACUACCUUAGUUAUGCCUACCAAAGGAUUACAAUUAAAGCCAAUCCACUCCCGGGUGUAACCAUCUUAAAUACAUUGAAUGAUACUCAUAUUGGGAAGAACGUUCCAGAAAUGAAUGCGUGCUGUGCAUUUGCUUUUGUGAUAAACGUUGAGAAGACACGGAAGUAUAAUGCUUCCUGGCAUUUGCCCAAAGAAACUCAAAUGAUGAGUUCUUUUCUACACAACCUGCUGGAUGUGAUUGCGGAAAUGCAGAUAGCCCAGAUAGAGAUUUCAAAUCUCAUCCUAAUAAGAUUUUACUCACCCUCAGACGAGAAGCUCGAUUUGCAGCUUAGUUUCAUCAACUUCCAAAGUGGCAGGAAGGUAAAUCUUGUUCUGGACGUAUCAGAUUUGAGUCGAGGGAUUUAUCCUUCUGAAGUUCUUCCGCAUAAGGUCGAAUCUCCUGCUUCGAAUAAAUACACACUCUCAGAGUCCAUGUUAAAUGACAUUAGAGCUGCAGUUGGGAAUUUAGAUUCUGGAUAUUCGAGGAUUUUAAGAGUUUGUAGAUGUGUUUCGGAAGUCGUACAAAGGUCAUCAAGCUGAUGCCGACAAUAGCAUUUUCUCUGUAUUUCUGUAUGUUGCUGGCAGUUCCAGCAUUAUUGUAAAAUCUAGAUUUAUUCAGCUGUCAGGUAUUUUCCCCUUGAAAAUACACGGAGCAAUGAGAAUUUUAGCUAACCCCUUGGAUGAGUUACUUCGUGAUUUAUGUCUGUAGUUGAAGCUUGCUAUUUGACCAAAUACAUCUAAACUUUGAGCAAGAUUAAUGAUGAUAAAGGCUGAGAUUAAUCAAUCUUGGUUUCAUGACUCUGAUGUCUCAUCUAAUAGUUGAAGUCCAUCAUGGAUGAUGGAAAAGUGACUUGCGAGGAUCAAGUUGGAGCUACACCACGAGGUUAAAGCUAUCAGUGCACAGGCUUCAUCAAGCAUCAUCAUUCAAAAUUAGGAAAGAUGGGUUUGAAGAACAAAAAGAGGUGAAAUCACUUUGCUCGUAUAACAUAUUCUAGGGAUACAAUAAUGUUGAAGAGAGAAAGGUGGGAGGAGGACAAAGCACUUUUGAACACUUUUUGGUUGGUGGGGUUGAAUGCUUCAUUGUUGAAUCUUUGCUGUCUUUUCUUCAUUUGCCAAGUAGGUCUUCGAUUCCCCUUAUUUACAAAUCUCUCUCUCUCUCUCUCUCUCUCUCUCUCUUUGAGCUUUGAAGAUAGCAUCUAAGAAACAGGGUUUUGAAGAAGAUCUAUUGCAAUCGACAAUUCGUCUCUCA